AUUGAACGCUGGCGGCAUGCUUUACACAUGCAAGUCGAACGGUAACAGGCCGCAAGGUGCUGACGAGUGGCGAACGGGUGAGUAAUGCAUCGGAACGUGCCCAGUCGUGGGGGAUAACUACUCGAAGGAGUAGCUAAUACCGCAUACGAUCUAUGGAUGAAAGCGGGGGACCGUAAGGCCUCGCGCGAUUGGAGCGGCCGAUGUCAGAUUAGGUAGUUGGUGGGGUAAAGGCUCACCAAGCCAACGAUCUGUAGCUGGUCUGAGAGGACGACCAGCCACACUGGGACUGAGACACGGCCCAGACUCCUACGGGAGGCAGCAGUGGGGAAUUUUGGACAAGGGGCGCAAGCCUGAUCCAGCAAUGCCGCGUGCAGGAAGAAGGCCUUCGGGUUGUAAACUGCUUUUAUACGGAACGAAACGGCUCUGGUUAAUACCCGGGGCUAAUGACGGUACCGUAAGAAUAAGCACCGGCUAACUACGUG
rnacentral:rRNA from 1 species